rnacentral:rRNA from 1 species
UACGUAGGUGUCAAGCGUUGUCCGGAUUUAUUGGGCGUAAAGCGCCCGCAGGCGGCUUGCCAAGUUCGAUGUGAAAUCUCCCGGCUCAACUGGGAGGGUGCAUCGAAAACUGGCAGGCUUGAGGCAGGGAGAGGGAUGUGGAAUUCCAGGUGUAGUGGUGAAAUGCGUAGAUAUCUGGAGGAACACCGGUGGCGAAGGCGGCAUCCUGGACCGGUAUUGACGCUGAGGCGCGAAAGCCAGGGGAGCAAACGGG